rnacentral:lncRNA from 1 species
UCUUUUCUCAUCAAAAACUUCCGGUGAGUGAAGGUUUUUGGCAUUUUGAUUAUGAACCAUUGUUGCUGCAACUCUGCAAGGGACACUUUGGGUCAGGUAGUCAUCUUUGGUAGUGGGAGCUUUGGUUCUUAAAGUGUAAGGCUUGAUUCACAUAGGAGAGACACUCUCAGGUAAUCCUAAUGAACCACCUUCAACCAAAAGGACUCUGAUAUCGAUGGAUUUAAAAAUUGUUUUCCACACUUAACCUAACAAUUCAAUAUCCAAAUUUUUGUAAUGGGAAAUUUUUAAUUCC